rnacentral:miRNA from 2 species
CCGAUGGAUCUGUUACGUGACACGAUG